rnacentral:rRNA from 1 species
AAUUUGCGGCAAUGGGGGCAACCCUGACCGAGCGACGCCGCGUGAGUGAAGAAGGUCUUCGGAUUGUAAAGCUCUGUUGUAAGGGAAGAACCGUACCAGUAGGGAAUGACUGGUACCUGACGGUACCUUACCAGCAAGCCACGGCUAACUACGUGCCAGCAGCCGCGGUAAUACGUAGGUGGCAAGCGUUAUCCGGAAUUAUUGGGCGUAAAGGGAGGGAAGGCGGCUUAUUAAGUCUGAGGUUAAAGUCGGGGGCCCACCCCGGUAAUGCCUUGAAAACUGCUGGGUUGAGGUGCAGAGAAGGUGAGUGGAUUUCCAUGUGUGGGGGUAAAAUGGGUGAAUAUAGGGAGAAACACCGGUGGCAAAGGCGGCUCCCUGGCCUGUAACUGCCGCUGAGGCUGAAAAGCGUGGGAGCAAAUA